CAUUAGGUGGGGCUCUCCAUCGCCAUUAGCAUGCUUUGGUAGGCAAACUAAAAGACUCGCUCCGACCGCGGGAGAAUUCUUGGUGGGGGGAAAAAUGAGUCACGGAGACUUUUGGAAAGCACUCAUGCGUGCUUAUGGACCUCUCAGAUGCACAAUUUUGCUCCUCAUAAAUAAUCAUCCCACCCGCUAAUGAAGGUGCAGCAACCUGCCGCUCGCUUGAACAGAUGUAAAUCUGGGAUGAAGACAUGUUGGCCAACUGCGCAAUGACGUGUGUCGGAAAGCGAGAGGUUCGCAGGAUGAAAAAGGAGAGGAUUGUGGGGAUUAAUGUCGAGGACUCACUUUCAAGUAAUGCAAUCAACCUGGCAACCGGAGCUGAUACAACAGCACCCUCCUCUUCAUCGUGCCCUGGGGUGAAUUUCCAGAGAAACGGUGCCAUUGUUCACCGCCUGGCUUCGUUUGAAGUCUGCUCACGCUUUCACGUUGGGAAAACAUGAAUGAUACGCAUCAAAGGUCCAGGAAAGGGGGGCGGCUGGAACCUGCUUACACAUUUUGCACAACGGACACCAUCUACCUCCACGCCCAAAGGCACAAUGAAACAUUUAGAGGAUUAAAAAAAAAAAAAAUCUUUUUUUGGUUGAAUAAACA